AGAAGGCAUCGAUUUCCGUUCAGUGAGUUAUCAAUGACUGAAAUGUACUCGGAAUACCCUCACAUCUCGCGCGCUCGCCCCAUUUGGCAUAGAGUGAGACAACUCCGCCUUUAUUAGAUAUUCCCUUUCAUUCUGGGUUAUCGGUGAGCUCCAUCGUUGGGCCAAUUGCGGCGCUCGCGGUCUUGGGGUCGUAUAAAAUAUCCAGCCUGCUCGUAAACAGAAUCACGCUGCCUUAAUCAACGAGAUGGAACGGCGUAGAGCAUACCUCUUAUUUCGUGCAGGUUUUUCCGAAGAAUUCUAAAAUAUUGACAAUCAAGAAUUGAGGAAGUCUUAAGACUUUAGUCGUAUACUUCCUGCUAGUGGUAACGAGUGGUUUUACACUUUUCUGAACUGGACUGCGACAUCAAAUGUGCUCUUAAAAUUAACUACGCUAAUUUUUCAAUGGAGCUUUUGACACUGCCCUCGGGAUAAGAGGGAAAACUCAUCACAUAACCACGGGUUUGGGUCUCAGGGAAGAAUGAGUCGUUCUCUGGCCACGUGGGUCAUCAUUUUUUUACUAGCUAGAGUAGAGGCUGCUGAUAUCUAUAAAAUCGUUAUCCUGACAGAGCAAGAGUCUGGACCGAAGGAGUCGGCUUUCAAAGGAGGGCUUCGAUCCUCGAGAGGGGAUAUUGAGCUUGCUGUGACGUCACUGGAUGUGGAUCGCAUGAACGAAGAGGCCAGUUAUGAGAAA
rnacentral:lncRNA from 1 species